GAAAAUAAAUCCGAAGCAUUUUCAUGUGAAUGCAAAAGAUAGAUCUAUACUUGGAGUGGGAUGUUUCUUUAGGACUAUGGUUUGGACGAGUCACUUCAACAACAGGGGAAUGUAAAUCCAUCUUUUGCUCAUAUUCUUAUCACUUUCUUCUUUGCAAUUGCAAGAAAUUUUGUGAUGGCAUUGAAGAAUUUGGUUGCUACUUGUCCAAUCCAUAGUUUUAAAAGAAUCAACCACUCCAUGAUUUUGGUUUCUGACAGAUUUUAGCGUCAAGCUGUAUAUACAUAUAUAACCUUUCGAUGAGGUAUAAUUUUAUUGUUAUUUCAUAAUUUUAAUUGUGUGCGUAUUCUUUCAUUUCAUAUGAUGAUUUAGAUCUAAGUUCAUCAUGAACUCAUCACUAGAAGUAUGAUCACCUGUUCCAGUUUGGACCAAACCAGCACAAGGAGAAGGGUAGAAAUAUCUAAGAAAAGAAAGAUUAAAGCUGCUAGGUGCUCCCUCCCCAUUUUACUAAGCCCAUCGUAGCAUUUCUUCACAUUUUUGCACAUGUAUUCCAUGCAGCUAGUGUUUUCGUGCAUAUUCUAGAAUUUCAGCACAUUCCUUGCAUGACCACGUGGACUAAGAUCCACUUAUUUUGGGAUUCAUCUCCACGGUGCAUAGCUAAGGGGUUUGCUAUAAAUCCACCUUAGAAUCCAUUGUAAAAGCGCUUUCGUUGAUAUAUGAUAUUCAAUCUGCUGAUGAGAUUUCUAGCACAUGAAAAUCUGUCCGAGAGUCACCUCCUCACUGAGCUUUCCGUUACUCUACCUAGCUUCCUUCCAGAUGAAGGCUGAUAGCUACUGUGCGUGACAGAGAAAGAAUAAUAGCAGGAUAUCAGAAAGAGAGAAUGAAUGCAGAGGGAAAAUUCCUUCUAUUUUCCUUGUUCCCCUUUUCACUACAAAACAGUGCUAUAUAUGCACUUGAUAACAACCCUGCAGUAACAUAUUAUUUGCAAAUAAAAGAAAUAUUAGGAAUAUCUGCUAUAUAUUCUUCCUAAUAGUUUUCCCCUUUUUACGGGAAGUUGUUAUCACAAAAUCUGAGGUAUUUUGGCUGGCGUGGAUUCCUUUUCAUAUUUUCCUCACGUUCUUCUUCUGGAGCAAUAGCUUGAUUCUGUCCCGCAAUGGGGCUUGUGUUUGGAGUGGCAAUUGGGCCUAUAGGUGCAUCAAUUAGUAUGGGUCCUACACUCCUUACAUCCCUUCCCUGAUCAAGAAGAACCUUGUCCUCAAGGUGAAAUUGUUGUUGGACCUGAGACCAAGAUUCCUAACUUGCUGCUUCCAAUGGCAAGCCCUUCCAUUGGAUCAGUACUUGAAUAUCAGAAGUGGGGGUAUCAGUAUUUCUCUUUCAAUCCACAAUUGUGACUGGUUCCAGAAUUGGUUGAUGAUCCUCAAUGUUAGGUGGAAGGGAUAGAGGAGAUGAUGGUAGUGGCCCUUUGUGAGGAUGGAGGAGACUCACAUGGAAUACAUUGUGAAUUUUGGCAAAAGGUGGUAGGUUUACUUCAUAUGCAACUUCACCAAUCUUUUUGCUAAUUUGGAAGGGACCGAAAAAUGUUUCAUAAGUUUUGUAGUGGCUGCACCAGUAACGGUUGAUUGCCGACGAGGCCUUAGUCGAAGAUACACCCAAUCACCUACUGCAAAGUGUAAAUCCCUGCGAUGUUUAUCUGCCCAAUUCUUCAUUUGUAACUGGGCUUUUUUGAGGUUAGCAUAUAAUUUCUAAAGUAUGGUAGUGCGAGUGGAUAACUCGGAUUGAGCAGAUGCAUUGGUUGUGUCUUCAGAAAGCAAGGGAGGGAUUAGAGGAGGUUUGCGAUCGAACAUCACUUCAAAAGGAGUGAAACCGGUGGAAGCAUUGACAGAGGUAUUGAAACUCCAUUAAGCCCAAGAGAGAAAUUUACCCAAAAGGGAAGGCUUGUGAUGCACAAAUGAUCGAAGAUAUUGCUGCAAUAUUUUGUUAGUCACCUCUGUCUGCCCAUCGGAUUGGGGGUGGUAUGCCGUGGACAUUCGGAGCUUGGUGCCACUGAGUCUGAAAAGAUCUCUCCAAAAUUGGCUCAAGAAUAUCGGGUCAUGGUCGGAGAUAAGGCUGCGAGGUAAUCCAUGAUGUUUACAGACUAUGUCAACAAAUAAUUGGGCUACGUUGUAGCAGUGAAAGACUUGGGAAACAUACCGAAGUGAGCCCCUUUUGAAAAUCUAUCCACAAUCACGAGAAUCGUAGUGAAAUUCUUAUAAGGAGGGAGGCCAAUGAUGAAGUCAAGUGAUAAAUCCUUCCAGUAGUGUGAUGGAGGAGGAAUCGGUUGGAGCAAACCUGCAAGGCGUUGAGUAGGAAACUUUGUCUGUUGACAAACUGUGCAUUGCUUGACAAAUUGCUUGACAUCUUUGCGAAUGUUGUGCCAAUAAAAAGAGGAUAAAAUCUUGCUCAAUGUACGGGAGAUGCCCGUGUGGCCUGCUAAAGGAGUGCAAUGGAAUUCAUGGAGGAGCAAUGGUAUGUAGGAACAUGUGGAUGGCAUCCAAAUCUUAUCCUUGAAGAGAAUGAGGCCCUCGUGGAUUGAAUAAUGAGGAUAGUCAUGUGGGGACAGUGAUGAUCUUGUGUUUGAGAGUGACAAAGGUAGGACCAUGUUGUAAGGAGGACUUGAGGUCAUACAAGAAGUCCAAUUGUGGAAUUGUCAAAACUAAAAGGGACGUGGAAAGAGGUUAAUCUGGGUCCUCAAUUCGUGAAAGAGCAUCGGCUGCAGUGUUGGUCUUGCUUGGUCGAUACUGUAUCUCAAAGUCGAAACCCAAUAACUUAAAGAGAUAAUUUUGUUGUUCAGGUGUGAGAACCGCUUAAGAUAAAAGUUCCUUGAUCGAUCUUUGAUCAGUUUGAAUCACAAAACGACGCCCUAAGAGGUAUUUAUGCCACUUUUGAACAGCAGAAGUGAUGGCGCACAAUUCCCGAAUAUAAGUGGAAGAGUUGUGUAGCUUAGGACAAAAUUGCUUACUAAAAUAUGCAAUUGGGUGGCCAUUUUGUGAAAAGACUACCCCCAUUCCAAUACCUAAAGCAUCUAUUUGAAUAGUGAACACUGAGUCAAACUUAGGAAGAAUCAGGACAGGUGAAGCCAGUAACUUGUUUUUGAGGAUGGUGAAUGCAGCUUGGGCAUUGGCGUUCCACAUAAAAUUGUCCUUCUUGAGGAGAUUGGUGAGAGGUUGAGCAAUGGAGGCGUAACCUGCUACGAAUUUCCGGUAGAACCCUGUUAAUCCUAAAAACCCUCGAAGGGACUUGACUGUGUUGGGGGUGGGCCAAUUGCUGACUGCAGCCAAUUUAGCAGGGUCUGGUUGAACGCCUCUGUCAGAUACCACAUGACCGAGGUACUGAAUAGAUUGAGUGUCAAUGGUGCAUUUGCUACCUUUCAACUUGAAACAAUUAGAAAGAAGAAAUUUAAAGGUGGUUUCCAAGUGAUGUACAUGAUCUGCCAAUGUGGAGCUAUAGACUAAUAUGUCAUCAAAAAAGACAAUGAUGAAGCGCCAUAAAUGGGGUCUAAACAGAUCAUUCAUGGUAGCUUGGAUGGUAGAAGGGGCAUUGCACAGACCGAAUGGCAUGACCCGAAUUUCGAAAUGGCCAUUAUGAGUCCUGAAUGCAUUUUUCUCUAUGUCGGCAGGGACUAUGAGGAUUUGAUGAAAUCCUGAAAAAAGGUCAAGCUUGGAGAACCACGAGGCAUGACCCAGUUCGUCCAGAAGCUCAUCAACAGUGGGGAUUGGAAAUUUAUCCUUAUGGUGGCAACGUUGAGAGCCCUAUAGUCAACACAAAAUCGCCACGUGCCGUCUUUCUUUUUAACGAGAAGCACCGGAGAAGAGUAAGGACUAUUGCUUGGCUUAAUGAAUCUGGAGUCAAGCAUCUUCUGUACCUAAUUUUCUAUUUCUUGUUUUUGGAAGUGUGGGUAUCGGUAGGGUCGUACAGUUGUGGGAUGAGUGUUUGGCGCUCAGGUGAUUGCGUGGUCUAUGGUGCGCGGUGGGGGAAGGGCAAAUGGGGUAGAGAAGAUGGUUGAGUAUUGGGAGAGAAGGGAUUGAAGAAGUGGUUCGGUGGUGGAAGGUAUGAUUUUAGAUGGGGAUGUAGGCUGUGUAAGUGAAGGAGUGGGAAAAGGAUUGUGAUCAAGUGUUAACUGAAAUAACGCUUCAAUCCUGUUGGUGUUAUGAAGACGACGAAGCUGAUGGGCUGAUAUAGGGAAAGGGUUUAGGCCAGAAUCCCUUUUUAGCUCAAUUAGUUUCUCGUGCCAUGUAAACCGCAUAAAUGGAACAUUGUAAUCCAUAAAAAAGGGACUGAUUGAUAACAGUUGAAAAACAAUUAUUUUCAUAUGUCUAUUUAGACCAAAUUGCACCCUUUAAGGCUUGGAAUGAGCUUAGAAUCAAGUAAAAUUCAAUAAAUGAGUCAGUUGAGAGUCAAAAGCUGUUUUUAGCGAUAUUAUGCUUGUUUUGCAGCAAAUUGGAUGAAAGUGAAGAUUGGGAUUGGAGAUGAAGGUCUUAGACUCAAGACAAAGAAAGAAAAUUGAAGAAAAGAAGAGUCUAGGGACUGCUUGGCGGCAAAAAUCACCGUUGGGCGGUCCAAGGCGAGGAGAAGGCACUUGGCGUCGGUGCUGGGCGGAUUUGUGAUUAGAGGCAAACCGCCGGGCGAUAACCCCCUGUCGCUGGGCGGUGGCGCGAUUAGGGGCAAACCGCUGGGCGGCAUAAGUGUGCUGCCGGGCGGUUGUCCGCUGGGCCUGGGCUUGUUUUUUGUGACACUCCUUAGCUAUAAAUAGCCCUGUUGCGAUUUCAUUCUCAUUCUUUUGAUAGAGAAGGGCGGCCAAACCUACUUUUCACUUCUUGGAGAAGAUUUCUUGGAUGCUUAGGCUCCUUUUCAUCUUAUCUAGGGUUUGCUUUUCCAUUUUUCUUUCAUUUUUCAUCUAGGUUCACCAUGACAAUGGUGAACUAAACCCUUUUGUUGUUGGGGGAAACAGUGUAAUAUUUUGAAACUCUCUUUUAUUGAAACUCUUGUUUAUUUAUAUGAUUUUUCAUAUGCUUUGAUUAUCAAUUGUUGGGUUCUCGCCUGCGCAUAAUGCUUUUAUCGUUUAACUCAUUUGAUAACCGUUGUUUGUCUUUAUUGAUACAGGGACGUACGGUAAUGUCAUGAACUGGUGAGAAAUUCCUUGAUUAAGCAAUACUUACCUAGGGAUAGGGGGUAGGACGAUCCAUUGUUUUUGCUUCAGUUCUUAAUGCAUUAUUAAUUGCUAGGGGAGGCUAGGGAUAGCAAGCCAGUAAUUAGUAAUAGGCUCUUUUCGCCGAGGGAUUGGGUUAAGGGUAGGCUAAGAAAGUUUGCAUAACAAUUAGAUAACAAAGCGCAUUAAACAAGAGGAGUAGAUAAGAGAGAGCAGAUAAGAUGAAAUUGUAAACCCCCAACAACUCCAUUCAUCCAUAGUCUCUUUUCGUCAAUUGAAUCAAACACUUUGCAUGUUUAUUUUCUGUCUUUGCAUUUGCAACAAUUAAUUAUUUCUUUACAAGUCUUAAGAUUUCAAUUCGCAUGAACGAGAAAACCUUUCGAGUCUCUUGGGAAGAACGAUAUCGGGCAUUACCGAUUAUAUUACUUGAACGAUCUGGUACACUUGCCAGUGACUCAACACUGGUCAUGGAAAGCCAGUUUACACCCAAGACAACAUCAGUGCCCGAGAGGUCUAGUGGGUAUAAGUCGAUGGAAAAAUCAUGACUGUCCAAGGUGAGAGUUAUAUUAGGACAUAAUGAAGAGUAAGGUAAGAAUGCACCAUUACUGACCAUAACACUUAAUGGGCUUGGUGUGGGCUGAGUGGGCAGAUGAAGGUGGGCUUGGUGUGGGCUGAGUGGGCAGAUGAAGGAAUUGGGCCACCUUGUUCUAAAUAAAAUUGUGUGUUGCUCCACUAUCGAUCAAGAUUUGCACUGCAUAACCAUGAAUAAAUCCGGUAACCCGAAAUGUUUGCGAAGACCAUUGACCCGAAAAUGCAUGGAGGCUGAUAAGACCUGCCGCUUGAGGUAUUUCUUCUGAAUUAGGAAUGUCCUCCGUGGACGCACUCUCAUCAUCUUCCUCUGCGUCGAAGGUAGUAAGCAAUAGAAAUAUUGGUUUACAUCGAUGACCCCGAGUAUAGCGUUCAUCGCAAUUAAAGCAAAGAUUCUUUUCUCUGCGAGAUUGCAUUUCAGCUUCAGUUAACUUUUUAAUUGGGAGCUUGGUUGUAGGUGUUGGAAGGAAUGGUGGAAGUGGUUUGGCAGGGGAAGGGGUGUUUUGUGGAGGUGAGGAAAUUGGCGGUGGGCGGCCAAAGCGGUUAAAGGGUAAGGGUGAUGAGCGAAAUUUAUCGUCGUGGAGCUUGGCUAAGGCAAUGACAUGAGGGAGAUCUGGUGGUUGUAGGGCGGUGACCUUGCGGCAGAGAUUAGGCUUCAAAUCCGAUAAGAAACAACUAAGGUAAAAACUCUAUGGGUAAUCUGAAAUGCGGUUGGCCAAGGUUUCGAAUUCGGAAAGUUGAUCGUGAAGGGUGGUGGUUUGGGUGAGCUUGCAGAGUGAAGCAAUGGGGUCAUCGAACUUGGAAGGGGCGCGAAUCGCAGUUCCAAUGCGCGGAGGUAGGAGUCCCAAAAAGACAACAACCCAUUAUUGAACAUCCAUUGGAACCAUGCAAGAGCUUGGCCUUCGAGAUAGAAGGAAGAGAUCUGGAUGCACUGAUCCGUAGGGGUCUAAUGAUACUCAAAGAAUUGAUUGACCUUGAAAAUCCAGCCCAGAGCAUUCGUGCCAUUAAAGGUUGGAAGGUCAAAUUUGAGUAGUCUGGAUGGUGAGUGUGAGGGAGUGGGGGGCGGCUGGGAUUCAAGGACUGUUGUUCGGUGGCUAUGUCAUGGAGGGUGUUGGAUAGAUUGGCAUGGGGGAGGAGUAAUUGUUCGAGUUUGACGUUAAGUUUGGCGAGCUCAUCAUGAGGAGAGGUGGCCAUGACGAUAAGUCAGGUCAAUGAAAGCACCAAUUGAUAGUUAUUGUGCGUGACUUUGAAAGAAUAAUAGCAGGAUAUCAGAAAGAGAGAAUGAAUGCAGAGGAAAAAUUCCUUCUAUUUUCCUUGUUCCCCUUUUCCCUACAAAACAGUGCUAUAUAUGCACUCGAUAACAACCCUGCAGCAACAUAUUAUUUGCAAAUAAAAGAAAUAUUAGGAAUAUUUGCUAUAUAUUCUUCCCAAUAGUUUUCCCCUUUUUACGAGAAGUUGUUAUCACAAAAUCUUUGAGGUAUUUUGGCUGGCGUGGAUUCCUUUUCAUAUUUUCCUCACGUUCUUCUUCUGGAGCAACAAUUUGAUUCUGUCCCGCAAUGGGGCUUGUGUUUGGAGUGACAAUUGGGCCUAUAGGUGCAUCAAUUAGUAUGGGUCCUGCACUCCUUACAAAGGCCUUUUGAGUUAGCUUCCACCGCACCGCAAGCUCUUCAAUAUUUCACAGAUCCAUCAAUUCUUCUGCUGUCGCAUCCCAUCACUUCUCUGCUUCUGCAUAACUUCUUUGCCGUUGGUGUAGAUCGACCUGAAGCAAGUCAUCAUGUGGUAUUCAGCGCCAUGGUUCGUGCUGAAUCACGCUCCAGAUAAGUUCCAUUGCUUUUCGUCCACACUGUUAAUAUGUUCCAUUCGUGUUUUUUUAUUCUGUCGUGCACUGUUCCAUUAAUUUCUGAUAUUUGUAGAUUUCUGUUCGAGUCCAUUGUUUGAUCCAGCUUUGUUUGCUUUAUUCUUCAUCAUUUUAAUCGGUCAAUUCACUGUUCGAGUCUUUUAAUUUUGUAAUGUUUUGUAUGUUUUAGUCAUGUGAUUCGUUUUAAUUUUGUCUAAAUUCCGAAGUUGAAAUUGUGUUGGGAUAAAGCUGUAAAUCUGGAAUUAGUCUUUCAAUAGAUGCACACCUCAAGAGCAAUGAUUAAUGAGCUCAGUGCAUUUUGAAUGCCAUCACAGGACAAUACCAAGUAUUUGUUUCAAAUCUAGUUUUCACUAUUUCUGAAACUGUAUCAUAGUGAAUGUGUGUUCUGUCUGUGUUGGAUGUGAUGCAAUGGUGAUGUAUGCAUACCUUUUGAACUAAAAAUUGUCUAAGACAAUCCAGCGGGUAGCACCACUUUGCAAUAAUCCAAAAUUCAAAUGUUUAGCAGAUUGACCGAACUACAAUUGUAUUGUUUGAGUUUUUCUUAUUUUUGAAUCUAUUCAGUAUAGAAUUCUCAACUGGACAUCUUUCAUACCAUUCCUAGAGUUUUAUUCAAAUUGUUUGUGCUGUCUAUGGUCAUAAUACACCAUCACAGAUCAUUUUUGACUCCUUUGCUUGAAUCUGGAUUGGAGAAUUGGCUAAAUAUAGUGCUAAACAACAACUAUAUUAGUGAAAUUUUGAUUUGGUGAUAUUUGACCUUUGUUGUCAACCUGUACCAAUCAAUUUUAGUAAAACAAAGUUGUUUGAAACAUAAAAUUGGCAUUAUCAACACUUUUGUAAAAUUUAGCCAUUCAAUGCACCAUUAUUCAACAUAUUGUUUUCUUAUACAAGUUGCAGAUGUUGAAUACCAUGCUUACUUUGAUUGAUGCAUCAAUUUCAUUGAUAGAUUGGUAUCAAAAUCUUGGUUCAAUUGAAUGAAAAGAAAAGUCUAAUUGAAAAUUUAACAAAUGCAUUUAUUUGAAAAAGCCUUGUGAACCAGUGCCAAUCCAUAGUUUCUAAAUUCUGAUGCAUCAUUCAUAUAACUUCUCUGAGGCAUUUUGUCGAAUGGUUGUGUCUAUUUUAAAAUUAAGUUGAAUCAGUAGUCUAUGCAACUUGUAUUCGUUUUAUUGAUUUCUAAAUCCAAUCUAGAGCAUAACCUAAGUUCAUUUGGACUGCUAUCCUUUCUUUCCAGCCACUUAAUGACUUGAUUUCGUUGCUUGAAAACCCUGCACGUAAACUAUUUAAAAAAAUUGACAAUUGUGCAUUUUGGUUGAUUAACACUCAAGUAUGCAACAAUGUAUUUUUCUGUUUUGAUAACUGAACAUUGGUGGUCUGUGUAUGAGUUUUAUUGUUGAGCAGAAGCUAGUCCAGAUCGUCCUCUAGCCUGGUAGCGCUCUAGGAGGUAGAUUGAAGAUUGGAAAGAUCAAGUGGGAGUGCAUUUUCGAACAACACAUUGGUUAAACAACUACAUAAUUGCUGGUGUAGCUGAUUCGGUGAGAUAGUAGAAAUACCACGUUGGCAGCUAUGAGCUUAGUGUGAAUUGGCUAAAUUCAUAUUUCCUUACGAGAAUCCAAAGCUGCACACAAUUUUUUCCUUUCCCUUCCUUGUAUUUCAUUUCAUUUGAAUUGUAAAAGCACUUGUAAUUGGCCAUUAAGCAAGUGAUUUGGAAGAAUUCCUAGGUGUUCUUCCAACACUUGCAAAACUUGAGUUUAAUUGCUUGAUUUAAAAUUGGUAGACGGUGAGCGUGUCUUGGUUCCAAAGUUCCAAGCCUCACCUAGGAGACCUCACCUUUCCAUUUCCAUUUCUUUUAAGUUUUUGAAUUCUCGCAUAGGUAUUCUUAAAGUCCGGCCUUAGAAUCCUAGGAAUUUUCUUUGCUUAUUUGAGUCUUCUUUUUGGUGAUCUUAGAAGUGAUUUUUGAGUUACAAUAACUAAGUAAGUAGCCUAGAACACUUUUGGCAAGGAAAAGGCUUGGUACUUAAGCAACCCUAGUGGUUCACCUCCCUUACCUGGAAUUUAUUCUUUGGUGAAAUCUAAGUAGUUGUAACACAAGAAAACUUUUACAAUCACAAAAUGUCAAAGCGUCAUUCUCCAAGAGUUAGUGACUCCAAGGAACAAAUUACUCUCAAAGACAUUUCAAACCAACUUAGAGAAUUAACUUAAUGGAAAAUUGAUACUGAAAGAAAAAUGGAAUAUGCUCAACAAGAUAGAGAAAGAAAAAUCACCAUAAUCCAACAUGAGUUGAGAAUAAUGAGAGAUAAACAAGGAAGAGUGCAUGAUAGUAGGAGCUGGGAAUCCAAUCAUGAGGGAGAAAGCUUUAGAGUAGGAGAUUAUUAUGGAGAUUAUUCUUCUUCUAGAAGACAUAGGAUAGAAAUGCAAGAACCCCCUCCCCCUAGAGAAGUCAACAUUAAUUUGCCUCAUUUUCAUGGAAAAGAUUAUGUAGAGGCCUUUUUAGAUUGGGAGAUGAAGGUGGAGCAACUCUUUGCUUGCCACUAAGUUAGUGAGGAGAGGAAAGUUCCUCUAGCUACCCUAAGCUUUCAAGGGUAUGCCAUGUAUUGGUGGACUGCCAUAGUGGAAGAAAGAAGGCGCCACCAAAAUCCUCCAAUACAAUAUUGGAAUGAUUUGAUCACUACCCUUAGGAGGAGACAUAUUCCCUCCUACUAUUAUAAAGAGCUUAUGGAUAAACUCCAAAGGCUACAACAAAAAUCUAUGUCUGUAGAACAAUAUAGACAAAAGAUGGAGUUGUAUAUGAUAAGGGCAAGAAUUGAGGAAAUAGAUGAACUCACAAUGGCUAGAUUUUUGGGUGGGCUCAAUUUUGAAAUCAGAGAUAGGGUUGAACUACUUCCUUAUAUAGAUUUGGAUAGUCUUGUCCAAAUGUUUAUUAAGGUAGAACAACAAAUCUUGCAAAAAUCUUCUCUUAAAAGAGUUCAAGUUCACUCUACUUUGGAAAAGGAAAAUUUUAAAGAAAAAGACCCUUUUAAACCUCUAGCCAAGAUUGUUGAGAAGUCCAAAAAAGAGUCAUCUUCACACACUCGGACUAGUGAGAUCAAAUGUUUGAAGUGUCUGGGAAGAGGACAUAUAGCUGCCCAAUGUCCCACAAAAAGAACUAUCAUCUUGAGGGGCAUUGACAGUUAUAGUAGUGAAUCCUCCAAUAGCGAGAAUGAGAGUGAUCAAGGAAAAUCAACUACUGAGGAAGUCUAUCCUUGUGAAGGGCAACUUCUCAUGAUCAAAAAAAAAUUUGACAACCAAUCCAGUAUAGAACAUCUAUCACAAAGAGAGACUCUCUUUCACACGAGAUGUCAAAUUCAAAAUAACAUUUGUUCUCUCAUUGUUGAUAGUGGCUCAUGCUCUAAUUGUUGUAGCACUAGAUUGGUUGAAAAAUUAAAUCUUGUUGUGCAACCCCAUCCUAAUCCCUAUAAGAUACAUUGGAUCAAUAAAGAUGGGAAUAUCACAGUCAAGAAUCAAGUCACAGUAACAAUUUCCAUGGCAACUUUAAAAACAAGUUUUAUGUGAUGUAGUUCCAAUGGAAACUUGUCAUGUGUUAUUGGGAAGACCAUGACAAUUUGAUCAUAAAAAUAUUCAUAAUGGUCUUACCAAUAAAAUAAUUGUGCACCAUCAUGAGAAGAAAUUUGUACUUCAUCCUCUUUCAUCAUCACAAGUGGCGGAGGAUCAAGAACAAAUGCGCCUUAACAAGGAGAGGGAUGAAAAAGAAAAAGAAAGAAAGUUGAAAGAAGAAAAUCAAAGAAGAAUAGAAAUAGAGAAAAGAAAAAGAGAGGAAGAAGAAAGAGAAAAAGAGAUAAGAAAAAAAGGAAAGAAGAGAAGAAGAAGAAAUAGAGAGAAGAAAAAAGGAAGAAAGAGAGAGAAGAGAAAAAGUGAAAAUAAGAGAGAAAGAGAGAAAAGAAGAGGAAGAUAAGGAAGAAUGUGAAAGGAAAGAAAUGGAAGAAAAGAAGAAAGAACAAUUGCAGGCAAUCUCUCCUCCUACACUCAUAAUAGAACCUAGACUAUUAAGGGGAGGUUUCCUAACCUUUCACUUUUCUCCACUUAUUUUUGAAAUUCCAAAGUUUUACUUUUCUUUCCAAGAAUUUACCAUGCCAUCUUUAAAAUUGUUAAAACUUUCAACACAUGGCAAUUCACAACUUGGGUUAGGGUUACUUUUAUGGUUACCACUAACUCAAGAUACAAAUAAAAUUUCAAAUGAAGAAAGGUUUCUCUAUGGUAAUAAACUCGAAAAUUUUAAAAUUAAGAAACCUUUUUCUAAACAUGUUCUUUUAUAUAUUUUGUUGGGUCAUAGAAAACUAAUUAGAAAUAUGUUUGAUGCUUAUUGCAGAUUGAUAUUUGACCCAGGUGGAAGAUCUAUGAAGCCUACAAAAAUAAGUCCUCAAGCAAGCCAUCAAAUUUAAGGACAAAUCCUUUCCAAGAGGGAGGGGAUGAUGACUUGGGUCCAAGCCUAUCAUGGACCCAUCACUAGAAGCAUGACCAGUUGUUCCAGUUUGAACCAAACCAGCUGAUGCAGUUCACUCCGACGAGGAACCGUCGAGCUGGCGCGGAUCGAGCUGAGGAACUGACAAUAGAUGUAGCGGAAGAAUAAAACCCUAGGUUUGUGUGUUUUGACCGGUGAAAAGGCUAGGGUUCGCGGAUCAAGAGGAUUUAAUCGGUGGAAGUUUGAAAUAAUCGGAGGAAAAGCUGUUUGAACGGUGAAACGAGAUGUUUCACUAAUUGAAUCAAUGGAAGGGAAGGAUUCUCGGUUUUGAACGGUAAAAAGUGGGAUAGGGUCCAGUGAGGGUGAGAUCUCGAGAUGAAAUGGUGAAAGGCUGAAGAUCUGAGAAAGAAAAUGGAGGUUACCUUGGUGAUUGAAGGCUAACCACGAGGAGCUCGAGAAAGAAUGCUCUCGAGAAGAAACCCUAGAUGCUUGAUGAAAUGAGGAAAUGAAUUGGUGUGUCUGAAACGCAAGAGGAACUUGAAGACGUGGCACAAAAGGCUCGUGGCUUCUGAUGGAGGUGUGAUGUGUCAGCGGAGAAGCGGCUGACGCGUAUGGAAGGGAUUGACUGAUUGAUGUUAUGGUGGAGGAGUGAUAGUCAGAUUUGGAAAAUGAAAGAAAUGGCAAAGUGAAUGGAAGGUGGCUAAGAGAAUCCCUUGGAUUCUUCAGCCUUGACUUUCAAGGGGAUUAAAAUCUGGAGUGCUCUCAACAGAAAAUUUAAUCCAAUAUCUCAAAAGUGAUUACAAAAGGUGUGGGCAUGCCUUUAUAUAGGACUAAAAGUCCCACAUGCCUUACACAUAUUACACAUGUAUAAAAGAACUGCUAAACUAAGGAAAUUGGGCUUGGGCCCAAGUCAUCAACAGCACAAGGAGAAGGGUAGAAAUGUCCAAGAAAAGGAAGACUAAAAUUGCUAGGUCCAUCCCCCAUUUUACUAAGACCACCCUAACAUUUGUUCACAUUUUUGCACAUGUAUUCCGUGCAGCUAGUGUUUCCGUGCAUAUUCUAGAAUUUCAGCACAUUCCUUGCAUGACCACGUGGACUAAGAUCCACUUAUUUCAGGAUUCAUCUCCACGGUGCAUAGCUAAGGAGAUUUGCUAUAAAUCCACCUUAGAAUCCAUUGUAAAAGCA
rnacentral:lncRNA from 1 species